rnacentral:rRNA from 1 species
UACGUAGGGUGCAAGCGUUGUCCGGAAUUAUUGGGCGUAAAGAGCUCGUAGGUGGUUUGUCGCGUUGUCCGUGAAAACUCACAACUCAAUUGUGGGCGUGCGGGCGAUACGGGCAGACUGGAGUACUGCAGGGGAGACUGGAAUUCCUGGUAUAGCGGUGGAAUGCGCAGAUAUCAGGAGGAACACCGGUGGCGAAGGCGGGUCUCUGGGCAGUAACUGACGCUGAGGAGCGAAAGCGUGGGGAGCGAACAGG